ACCACUCAUCUGCUGUACAAAUUACAUACGUGGCGAAUGAAUUAAAAUAAGUAGACGAUUUCAGUUGAUUACCUCGAAUGUUUAUCGCCAAUGUGAAUACGACCUUGAAGUAAUCGUAAUUGUCGUGUGCGUGACGUUUCUGAUGUUUACCAACCUUUAUCAAGCCUAAAGAAAACUAUCGAUGCAUCGAUAAGCACAUUUUACGUUUUCCAAAAUAAUAUUUUAUAUUCAGUGACAAAUUGCUCGAGUAAUAACUACUUUUAGAUAGGAAAAUGGCGACGAAGGUCGGGGAAUCAGGAUUUAAAUCGCUUGCGAAAUAAUGCGACUUUAGCCUUCUCUGGCCGACUUUUUAGAGAUUCAAGCUUAAAGUUCGUGUACUGGCUGCAGGAAGUAAACUUAUGCUUCUUUUGUAAUCAAUUUCUUUCGCUAUUAAUAAUCCUAAAAAAUAAAAGUAAUCGGCAAAUAAAUCAAAUUCAUCAAAAUCUGAGAAAUCGAUAAAAAACGCAUAUUGCUCUAGUAACUAGAUUAUUACAUGUUAAGGAAUCUCGUCAUAUUUCAGCUUGUUUUUACACGAUAAAAGUAGACAAUAAACACGGGUGUUGUGAAAUCCGGGACACGAUAAAAAAGCCUCGCUGGGAGUUCGAUAAACGAACCGGUCAACGCACGCAGUUUCCAAAUACUAAAUAAUAUACGGUGUUACUCAAGAACGAGCGAUUAGAAAGUACCGCAACAAAGAAAAGAAAAACAGGCUGUAUACUGCGAUAAUAUUCGUUGAGUGUCAUAUUACGCUAAGAGAUGUGUCUUUCUCAUAUUACUGUUACUGUUAUUGUUAAAAUUUACGCAAGUACGAUAGAUUAGUAAUUGUUUGUCACGUGUAUAGUCGAUUCUGUUAAUCUGCAAUUAAUUUCCUUCCUGUAUCUUAACAACAAACGCUGCUAGCACAAUCUGAAAAUACAGUUCGUUAGAUCGCUAAAGUGAUACCGGUUUCUACUGGUUUCCAGCGCACUUUAACGUCACCAAUGGUAUUCAUUGAAACGAAAAAAGAAUAAGAUGGAAAUAUGAUGAAUAACGAACUGUUUCUAUAAAUAAAAUAUCUCUGUUUUAUUGUAAGAGGAAUGAAAUACGUAAUACAGCGCUUUUUUCGUUUAAAAAAUUAUACGAAAUCGAAGAACCUACUGCGACAAUUUGUUUCGAUACUUCGAUAAUGGAAUAAAAGACAUUCAAACUCAUAAGAAUACUAUUACGUGAAUUUCUGGAUUCAAGAAAUUAUUUAUGGCGACGUCUGAACACUAAAUCGCAUUCUCAAUGUUUAAUAUGAUCGAGGGAUAUCGAUUGCUCGAUACAGAGACAUAUCAAUAAUCGAUACAGCUAUGUACGAUACAUGUGUAUAUCGACCAAUAAAAAUAUCGAAUAUGUAGAUAUAUAAUUUAUCUAAAUUCUGUUUUUGAUGCAAGAAAAUAAAUCGAUAUGUAAGUACGUAUAUCGAUUAAUCGAAAUAUCGUAUAUAUCGAUAACAUAGGAGAAAAUAAAAAUUUGGAAAUUUAUAAAUUUUGUUUCCGAUGCAAAAUGUCAUAUAUCAAUCGCUACUUGAAAAUAAGAUUUGAAAGUACAACACAGAAGGAUUAUUGCGCUCAUCACGUUCAAAGCGAUUGUAAGUAGUAGUACAUAUAUCGUUCGAUUUGGAUCGAAUGUCUGCAUUCCCCACGCUUGUUCCUGCAUCUCUAGAAAUAGGACACUUUCAGCGAUUUCCUCGACCACUUAUUUACCUUAGAUUGUCAUCUCAACACCUAAAUAAUACAAUCGUCUACCGCAGUGCAGUGUGGAGGUACUUGAAAUAUCUUUCCAAAAAAACUUCGAAACUAGCGAAAGUUUCGUAGUUAUCGAACUGUUAUUCUGUUACCCUAAAUGUGCGGGCCCCAGAAAUCGGUAAAUAGAAUUUUACAUUUCCUGCGUAAACUACACUUUGCGGAUUUCAUCGAGAGGCUAGUUAACACCCACCCAGCACUAAGUGCUCGAUGGGUUCGCUCUAAAGUAAACAUCUAGUAUCAAUCAGCAACACCAGAGGAAAUGCGCCCACGAGGGUACAUAAGUACAAGAUUGGAAAGAAUAGAUUCCCUCCUCAUGAAAACCCUGGGACGGAGAGUUAGCAUAUAAGGACCAGGCGCGGCUUUUACAACCAAUCUUCAAAGAGUCUUCAUCAGGGCGUCAUGUUAUACUCUCCAUAUUAUACUACAGUGUGGAAAUAAAUCAACUAAACAUAA